rnacentral:rRNA from 1 species
CCUACGGGAGGCAGCAGUGAGGAAUAUUGGUCAAUGGGCGAGAGCCUGAACCAGCCAAGUAGCGUGAAGGAUGACUGCCCUACGGGUUGUAAACUUCUUUUAUAUGGGAAUAAAAUGUUCCACGUGUGCGUUUUUGUAUGUACCAUAUGAAUAAGGAUCGGCUAACUCCGUGCCAGCAGCCGCGGUAAUACGGAGGAUCCGAGCGUUAUCCGGAUUUAUUGGGUUUAAAGGGAGCGUAGAUGGGUUGUUAAGUCAGUUGUGACAGUUUGCGGCUCAACCGUAAAAUUGCAAUUGAGACUGGCAGUCUUGAGUACAGUAGAGGUGGGCGGAAUUCGUGGUGUAGCGGUGAAAUGCUUAGAUAUCACGAAGAACUCCGAUUGCGAAGGCAGCUCACCAAACUGCAACUGACACUGAGGCUCGAAAGUGUGGGUAUCAAACAGGAUUAGAUACCCCAGUAGUC